rnacentral:rRNA from 1 species
GGAGGGUGCAAGCGUUGUUCGGAAUUACUGGGCGUAAAGGGCGUGUAGGCGGACCAAGUAGUCGGGUGUGAAAGCCCUGGGCUCAACCCAGGAAGUGCGCCCGAAACCAUUGGUCUAGAGAUUCGGAGGGGAGCGGGGAAUUCCCAGUGUAGAGGUGAAAUUCGUAGAUAUUGGGAGGAACACCGGUGCCGAAGGGGCCGCUCUGGACGAAUACUGACGCUGAGACGCGAAAGCGUGGGUAGCAAACAGGAUUAGAUACCCUGGUAGUCCACGCUGUAAACGAUGUGCACUAGGUGUCGGGGGUAUUGACCCCCUCCGGUGCCCGCCGCUAACGCAUUAAGUGCACCGCCUGGGAAGUACGGUCGCAAGGCUG